rnacentral:rRNA from 1 species
CAGUCGAACGAUGAACCGGUGCUUGCACUGGGGAUUAGUGGCGAACGGGUGAGUAACACGUGAGUAACCUGCCCUUAACUCUGGGAUAAGCCUUGGAAACGGGGUCUAAUACUGGAUAUUGACUUUUCCUCGCAUGGGGAUUGGUUGAAAGAUUUAUUGGUUUUGGAUGGACUCGCGGCCUAUCAGCUUGUUGGUGAGGUAAUGGCUCACCAAGGCGACGACGGGUAGCCGGCCUGAGAGGGUGACCGGCCACACUGGGACUGAGACACGGCCCAGACUCCUACGGGAGGCAGCAGUGGGGAAUAUUGCACAAUGGGCGAAAGCCUGAUGCAGCGACGCCGCGUGAGGGAUGACGGCCUUCGGGUUGUAAACCUCUUUCAGUAGGGAACAAGGCCAGGCAUUGUCUGGUUGAGGGUACUUGCAGAAGAAGCGCCGGCUAACUACGUGCCAGCAGCCGCGGUAAUACGUAGGGCGCAAGCGUUAUCCGGAAUUAUUGGGCGUAAAGAGCUCGUAGGCGGUUUGUCGCGUCUGCCGUGAAAGUCCGGGGCUCAACUCCGGAUCUGCGGUGGGUACGGGCAGACUAGAGUGAUGUAGGGGAGACUGGAAUUCCUGGUGUAGCGGUGAAAUGCGCAGAUAUCAGGAGGAACACCGAUGGCGAAGGCAGGUCUCUGGGCAUUAACUGACGCUGAGGAGCGAAAGCAUGGGGAGCGAACAGGAUUAGAUACCCUGGUAGUCCAUGCCGUAAACGUUGGGCACUAGGUGUGGGGGACAUUCCACGUUUUCCGCGCCGUAGCUAACGCAUUAAGUGCCCCGCCUGGGGAGUACGGCCGCAAGGCUAAAACUCAAAGGAAUUGACGGGGGCCCGCACAAGCGGCGGAGCAUGCGGAUUAAUUCGAUGCAACGCGAAGAACCUUACCAAGGCUUGACAUGAACUGGAAACACUCAGAAAUGAGUGCCCCGCUUGCGGUCGGUUUACAGGUGGUGCAUGGUUG